UACGUAGGCAGCGAGCGUUGUUCGGAAUUACUGGGCGUAAAGAGUGUGUAGGCGGUGCUCUAAGUUCGGUGUGAAAUCUCCCGGCUUAACUGGGAGGGUGCGCCGGAAACUGGAGUGCUCGAGCGUGGGAGAGGAAAGCGGAAUUCCUGGUGUAGCGGUGAAAUGCGUAGAUAUCAAGUGGAACACCAGUGGCGAAGGCGAGUCUCUGGACAUUUCCUGACGCUGAGGCACGAAAGCCAGGGGAGCAAACGGG
rnacentral:rRNA from 1 species